rnacentral:lncRNA from 1 species
CUCCGCUGGCGGCCGCGGGCCCCCGGGCAAUUUUUAAGGUCGCCCUGUGGGUCCGGCCCUCGGGCCCUCCCUCCUGAGACCCCCUCCACCAGCCCUCCCUCCGGAGGCCACGCCCUCCUGAGGGCCCGCCCUCUCGAAGUCCCGCCCUACCGGCCCUCCCCCACGCGAGGCCCCCUCCGCCCCUCCCUCCCGAAGGCUGGCCAAGGAAACGGAAAUCUGCUCUCCUCGCUGACUGCCGAGCUGGCAGCCUCCGGGAGGACUCACCUUGAGGUCUCCCAGCGUUAUCCAGCCCCAGGAGGCUGUGGCUUUAACAGUAAAUGGAAAGUACUAGAAUGGUAGUGGUGAACUAUAAGUUCCCUUAUGGGCAGCUUUUUAAAUCAUCUGUUUAUUUGUCUACAGACAGGGUCUCGCAUAGCCCAGGCUUAACUUGCUAUAUGGCUGAGGGUGGUCAGGAACUUCCUGAUCUUCCUACCUCCCCCUUCCAAGAGAAGGAAUUUCAGGUUUCAUUCUUUCUCCCCUAAGGAAAUCCAUUCCCAGGAACAUUAUGGAAAAGACAACAAUAUAAGCUGCCGCUGCAGGUUUUAUAGUUCCCAGCGAUAUAUUCCUGAGGCUUUAAUUAGAAGCUCAAAGUGACGCUGGAGUGAGGGCGCAGAGGUAAAGAACCUUUGAUACUUAUCAACUUGACUCAGCCUAGAAUCAGUAGAGGGAUUGCCUAAAUCCAGUCAGUCUGAGGAUGGAAAGGUCCGUAGCAGCAAUGUCUUGAUCAGUAAUUGAUGCUGGAGAGCCCAGCCCACUAUGGGUGGUGUCAUUCCUCUGGCAGGAAGUCCUGGAUUGGAGGGGGGAAAAAAGCAUCGUCCAGAGAUCAACCAAGAAAGUGAGUCGGUAAUCUGUAUUCCUACAUGGCUUCUGCCUUGACUUCCUGCCUUCCGUCAAUCUGGAAGAGAAUGCCAAAUAAACCUUUUCCAAGCUGC